rnacentral:lncRNA from 10 species
AUCUGAGAUCUCUUGCCCCUGAAAAACCACAAUUAAAUAGUUACAGGGAACUGUAAAUUAUUCAGGGACCCAUUCUUGGAUUGUACAUUAGUCUGGCGACAUUUUCAGCAUCCUGUUUUGGGCUUUUUAGAAAAAACAAAUGGGCCAGGAAUGAAGCCUCUCAAAAUAAGCCCAGAGUGGAAGGGAGCUGCCAUGUGGUGAGCUGCCCUGUGUAGAGAUCCAUGGGUCAAGAAAUUGAUGUUUCCAGCCAACAGCCAGCCAAGACCUCAGGGCUGCCAACAGCCACGUCAGUGAGCUUGGAAGUGCAUCCUAUCCGAGUUGAGCCCGCAGAUCACUCAGCCCCAGCCAACCCCUUUGCUGCAUCCUUGUGAGAGAUCCUGAGUCAGGCACCAGUGAAGCCUUGCUCAGAUUCCUGAUCCACAGACAUGAGUCCAAGCCUGAUCCUCUUUGGGGACCUGACUGGUCAGGUUCUGUUUAAGCAGCUUCACCUUCAGAGGAAUACAGGGCAGUCCAGUCUCA